AAACUUUCAACAACGGAUCUCUUGGUUCUGGCAUCGAUGAAGAACGCAGCGAAAUGCGAUAAGUAAUGUGAAUUGCAGAAUUCAGUGAACCAUCGAAUCUUUGAACGCACAUUGCGCCCGCCAGUAU
rnacentral:rRNA from 1 species